rnacentral:rRNA from 1 species
GCGGACGGGUGAGUAACGCGUGGGUAACCUGCCCUGUACACACGGAUAACAUACCGAAAGGUAUGCUAAUACGAGAUAAAGUACUUUUAUCGCAUGGUAGAAGUAUCAAAGCUUUUGCGGUACAGGAUGGACCCGCGUCUGAUUAGCUAGUUGGUAAGGUAACGGCUUACCAAGGCGACGAUCAGUAGCCGACCUGAGAGGGUGAUCGGCCACAUUGGAACUGAGACACGGUCCAAACUCCUACGGGAGGCAGCAGUGGGGAAUAUUGCACAAUGGGCGAAAGCCUGAUGCAGCAACGCCGCGUGAGCGAUGAAGGCCUUCGGGUCGUAAAGCUCUGUCCUCAAGGAAGAUAAUGACGGUACUUGAGGAGGAAGCCCCGGCUAACUACGUGCCAGCAGCCGCGGUAAUACGUAGGGGGCUAGCGUUAUCCGGAAUUACUGGGCGUAAAGGGUGCGUAGGUGGUUUCUUAAGUCAGAGGUGAAAGGCUACGGCUCAACCGUAGUAAGCCUUUGAAACUGGGAAACUUGAGUGCAGGAGAGGAGAGUGGAAUUCCUAGUGUAGCGGUGAAAUGCGUAGAUAUUAGGAGGAACACCAGUUGCGAAGGCGGCUCUCUGGACUGUAACUGACACUGAGGCACGAAAGCGUGGGGAGCAAACAGGAUUAGAUACCCUGGUAGU